rnacentral:lncRNA from 1 species
CGGAAUUGAUAAAUAAAAAUAUGGAUAGGCUCGGAAUUCAAGGGUGAGCAGAAUGUCCUGAAGAAAUUCUGGCCGGAAAGUACUGUAGCCGCCGGAAAAGUCAAUAAAGUCGCCGGAAAAAACUCAAAGUUGUCGGAAUCGAACGAAAAAAGGAUGGGUAAGGUCGGAAUUGAAGGGCGAGCAAACUGUCCUGAAGGAGUCACC